rnacentral:ncRNA from 1 species
GAGCAUCGCUGGGGGUGCCGCCCGGCCGUCAUGACGACGCCGAGCGGCUGAGACAGUCCCUUCGAACCUGAUUGAGAUCAUCCUCGCGCAGGAAAGCAGCUCGCCGGACGG